rnacentral:rRNA from 1 species
CGCAGCCUGAUGGAGCGACACCGCGUGAGUGAAGAAGGGUUUCGGCUCGUAAAGCUCUGUUGUUGAAGAAGAACGUGCGUGAGAGUAACUGUUCAUGCAGUGACGGUAUUCAACCAGAAAGUCACGGCUAACUACGUGCCAGCAGCCGCGGUAAUACGUAGGUGGCAAGCGUUAUCCGGAUUUAUUGGGCGUAAAGCGAGCGCAGGCGGUUUUCUAAGUCUGAUGUGAAAGCCUUCGGCUUAACCGAAGAAGGGCAUCGGAAACUGGAUGACUUGAGUGCAGAAGAGGACAGUGGAACUCCAUGUGUAGCGGUGAAAUC